rnacentral:tRNA from 1 species
UGUCUCCCUCGUCUAGUGGUUAGGACACCGGGUUUUCAUCCCGGCAACACGGGUUCAAUUCCCGUGGGAGAUGU